GACGAACGCUGGCGGCGUGCUUAACACAUGCAAGUCGAACGGAGAGGCCCUGCUUUUGUGGGGUGCUCGAGCGGCGAACGGGUGAGUAACACGUGAGUAACCUGCCCUUGACUUUGGGAUAACUUCAGGAAACUGGGGCUAAUACCGGAUAGGAGCUCCUGCUGCAUGGUGGGGGUUGGAAAGUUUCGGCGGUUGGGGAUGGACUCGCGGCUUAUCAGCUUGUUGGUGGGGUAGUGGCUUACCAAGGCUUUGACGGGUAGCCGGCCUGAGAGGGUGACCGGCCACAUUGGGACUGAGAUACGGCCCAGACUCCUACGGGAGGCAGCAGUGGGGAAUAUUGCACAAUGGGCGGAAGCCUGAUGCAGCAACGCCGCGUGCGGGAUGACGGCCUUCGGGUUGUAAACCGCUUUCGCCUGUGACGAAGCGUGAGUGACGGUAAUGGGUAAAGAAGCACCGGCUAACUACGUG
rnacentral:rRNA from 1 species